AUGAAUAUAAGUAUGAAACAAUGCACUGACGCAAUAGAUAUAUCAAAAAAAAUAUAGUGACCAACAUUGGCAUAUAUAUUAGUAUUUGGUUAAGAAGAAUAUAUUAUUGGUUUAUAUUCCAAAAUCAGAAAUUUCUUUUCUUAGUAAAUAUUUACAUCUAGUAUCCAAGCAUAAAACUAUAAUAACACCAAGUGCAAAAAGGAAUCAGCACUUUCCGGUUCAUUUUUAUUCAGAAAAAGAGAUGCAGUUUUUUGCAGAAAAAUAACAGAAGAUGGUUAGAUAUCACAAGACAUGGGAACCAUGGGCCAUAGAAAGAAACUUGCUUCAUAUAUAUAACGAGUGAAUCAGAAUUUUAACCACUCUAACUAUUUGUCACAGCAUUGAAAAAUAAACAUUGCACCUGUGAAAAUAAAUGAAAACACCGCCACCUAAGAACAUCCACUAUUGUAAAGCUUAUUUAUUAUGGCAAGUCAAUAAAAAAUUAUCUUUAAAAACCUUCUCCAAAGCACACGUUUUUCUUUUUUUUAUAAUUAAACAUUUACCCCAUCUAUUUGAUAUGUUUUAAAAAACCUCCUAUAAUUUUUUUUGUUUUUUAAGCACACAUCAUAUUUCAAAUUGAUGACUUGAUGUUAUUGUUGGGUUAAUCUUAAUGAUUCAAGUCAGGUUAAGCUGGAUCACGGUUAUGGGUUUGAAUGGGCCAGUCCAAGUUCUUUAUGCACAGUCUUAAUAAUAAAGACUUAGUCUAAUAAUGAAGACCUGGUUUGGUUUGGUGGGGUUUAAUAACGUGGACUUAGUAGUCCUAUCUUUAAGGUUUCUUAGCUCAUGAUAGUUCUCCUUCUUCUUAGGAUGUUAAUUAGUAUAUAUAAACAGAGUAGAAUUUAUCUUCUAGCUGUAGUGGGACGUGUAUGUAUAAUUUUCUGUUUUCUAUAUAAUGAAUGAGUGUGAUACACAGAAAAAUUGUCCCCCCUUGAGAUCUUUUGUUUUGCUUUAACUGUGAAUGUUCAUGUAUGUUUGAUCAUGAGCAAAGCAUGUUUCAACAGUUAUUUUAUCAAUUAUAUAGUAGAAGAAAAACAAUAAAUUCUAAUUUUUAUUUGCAUAUUUGACUAAUUAGAUUAAAUAGUGAAAAAUGAUAAAGCUAUAAAAUAUGCAAAUAUUAUUGAAAGGCAUAAAAUGAAAAUGUUAUUAAGAUGAGGGGGUAGAAAAAAAUACUACAAUAGAUAAAUAAGUAGUUGGUGAAGGAUAAGUGUUUGAUAGAAUAGAAUAGUAAAAUAAGCUACGCACUGAAAAAAAAAAGUUGUGCUUUUAGUUUUUGUUCAAAAACACAAGAAAUUGCAAACUUUGGUGAUAUUAUGCAUUUUCCCAAGCACAUUAAUUAGAUGUUCUACAACAGAAUGACAAGUAAUACAACUGCAAAUACAUUUCAUUCUUCAUUGACAUACUGCAUAGUAGUAAAAAAAAUUAAUAACUAUAUAAUUAUUAAAAGUGUUUUUUGAAAAAAAAAAAAACAAAACAAAAAAGGUAUCUUAAACAAAUGCACACAAAUAAACUGAUGAAAUGGCAUACCAACAUAAUCACGUACGUGGUGGUCAAGUGUCAAACAUAAAUGGCCCUUCAGUUUGUUUUGAGUCAGUUAUAUAUGCAAAUCUUCCUGUAGCCACAUGGCAGAUUGUUAUGCUUCCUUUCCUAAGGCUGCAGUAAGAUCACAGCAUCUGAUACUUAGAUUCGUAUGUACUUUCAAGUGCACAGCACAAUCUCUUCUUUAUCACAAAAAGACAAACAAAACACGGGCACGCAGAUAGAGAAAUUAGAAGGGUGACCUUUCAGUUUCACUACAUUCAUUGAGCUGGUAACCAAGUACAUCCAAAUCACAAAAUAAGACAAAAAAGUCUAAGGGUAUGUCAAAAAUUAGAGAUUAUCUAAUAUUGCUAUGAUUUCCCUGCAUGUUUUGUGCUAACUGUGUAGGCUGAAGUUAAUAUAACCAUCAUAUGUUUGAUGCCAAAACAAGCCUAUUCACAAAGAAUGACUUGAUGUGAGAAAUAACAUUUUGUGCACAUUGUGCAUACAAUAAGCAAGCGAUAUUCACGUGGGUGAUAAUUCGUGGGACAAAGUAAAGAAUGCAAGGAUGUUCUGUAAUCAUUGUCAUACAUUUGACGAUUCCACACUUCAUUUCCCUUAAGCUUUUGUUCAUACCCUUGAAGUUAAAGUCAUUUCAAUGGAUAAGCAUCUUCCUCGUCUAAAUAGAUGUUCUGAGAAAGAAAGCUCUUGACUUUAAAUUAGUUGACAAAUAUACAUAUGCUUACACAUGACAUGUAAUCACCAAACUACCUACCGACUGGCCUAUACAGUUGCCAAGAAUUUUUUAAUUGAUUCUCAAGGUUAAAGAUACUUUUCUUCCAUGCAUAUCAACCUACAGAGAAGAGAAGCCACUUGUUAUAUACAAAGCAAUUGCUUAGUAAUUUCCUAUCAUCUGCAAGUCUGAUAAAGAAUAUGAUCUUUUUUGCAGAAUCUAAUAAGAACCACCGCCCAAAAUUUUCAACACUUAUCACUAUAUAUAUAGCCAUGGCAGUAGCUUACAUUACUCACAGCAAACAUCGAUCACACCUAACUUUCUACAUACAGCCUCUAACAACCUCACUUGCAACGAUUUAUUCUACUAAUUAAAUCUAGUGUUGUUUUAUAAUACUUUUAUAAAACAUCAGCUGCUAGAAUUUCCAGAAAUGGCUUUGGUUAGAGCACUGGUGAAUGAAAGGCCUGUGGUUAUAUUCAGCAAAAGCUCCUGCUGCAUGUGCUACACCAUUAAGACACUGAUAAGCAGUUUUGGGGCAAAUCCUACAGUUUAUGAGGUAGAUGAGCAUCCACAAGGGAAGCAGAUAGAGAAGGAACUGAGAGGAUUAGGGUGCAAGCCAAGUGUGCCAGCUGUGUUCAUAGGAGAGGAGCUCAUUGGUGGUGCCAAUGAAAUAAUGAGCCUUCAUCUCAAGGGUCAGCUGGUACCCUUGCUCCUUAAUGCUAAUGCCAUAUGGCUUUAGUCAAACAUGUUCACAAAUAUCAAGUUCCUACAAUAUUGUAAAGGUUGGAGCAGAUUGAUGCAUUAUAGUCAUUAGAACAGGAACAGAAAGAAAUGUUUUUAGCCUUCUUUUUGCUCUUCUGAGGCCAAUCAUAACUAAUGUGCUAACUUCCAUAUGUAAUUUCACUACCUUUUGAGAAACAAUAAUAAGAGAUAAGAUAUUUUUCAGGAGCUACAACUCAACGCUAAUGCUAUAUGGCUUUAGUCAAUUACCAUAUUAAAGAAUAUCAAGUUCCAACAAUAUUGUAUGUAAUUUCAAUACUUACUGAGAAGCAGAUUGAUGCAUUAUAUCAUUAGAAAAGGAACAGAAAGAAAUUCUUUCAGCCUUCUUUUUUGCGCUUCUGAGGCCAAUGAUAACUUAUGUGUUAACUUCUAUAUGUAAUUUCACUACUUUUUGAGAAGCAAUGAGAGAUACGAUGUUAUUAAGGAGCUACUACUACUGCUCUUAAUGUUAAAAUUUGAUGUUAAAAAGUGUGUAAUUAACAUCUCUUGUAUUCUAGCACUGAAAAAUUUAUUGUAUUCUGGAGGCUUAAUUGCAACCAGAAGCAACUGAAGUACAAGAAAUAUUCUAAGAUUCCAAUUUUUUCCUUCCUUCCAUUAUAGAAGCUUAUACUUCAAGGCUCUGUUGUGGUCAUUUAUUGAUCAUUGAUGUUAUUACUUUGAUAAAUUCAAUGAUACAAGAUUACUUGGAUUGCCUCAAAGUGCCCGUAUACAUCAUAGUAAUAGUUUGCAUUAGGCUCUAUAUUAACAAACGGCUAAAUUCAAUCUGUGCUUGGGUUCCUUUAUGUUCAUGUACUGAGAUAUUAUCUUCCGAUAAUAUAGGUAUAUAUCGUCAUACUUCACCAGUUAACUUUUGGGAAAAUUUACUUGUUAUUUUAUGUCUCCACUUCAUGUAUACAGAAACUUGUGCAUACUUGUGUGUCACUAUGAUGAAGCAAAAUAACAUAUGGAUAGAAAAUCAAGAUGCCAUAAUAACAUGGUUUACUGAUCUUGGUUCUUGAUCUAGAUUUGGAUAAGUAAGAUCUGUAAGUACUGAAAAGAAUAAGUUCCAAAACAGGUUUUAAUGAAGAAUGGUUCAUAGCAAUAUCAUGAACUUAGUUUACGUGACUAUGCUAUGCAUGCUAUAUAUAUUGGAAAUUUGAAGCCUCUUUUUCUUACAAGACUUUUAUCUUAUCUAACCUACACCAUAUAAUCAGCAAAAUAGAAAAAAGACAUGUGAUGCCAGGACUCGUUUGCUUAUGUUAGUCCAUACAUACUAACUGCCUUUUUGAUCAGAAAACAAAAAAAAAUGGAAAGUUAAAACUAUAUUAACAGAUUCUAUGCCAAAAGCCAUGAAGAAAAUGUUGAAAUGAUAUAUUAUUAUGGUAAAGCAAGUUCUCUUGAGCACUGAAGACAAAUAUGAAUGAAAGUUUUCAAAAGUCGAUAUAUAAGUUUACUGAUAUCUGACUUUUGUAUAAGUUGGUGAGCCUAUAUAACUGUCCCUUAGUUUCAGUUUGGGCCAGUUAUACAAAUUGAUUCCACCAGUUCAUACCACAUGCAUGUCAUAAUUUUCCUCUUGUUUUGGCUUUUGGGCUGGCAUGUAUGUGGCCAUAUAUAGGACCAGGAAAUAAUAAAUUUCAUUUGAUCCAUCACCAUCAUCACACAACAAAGAUGAGGGGAUAUAUUCAUCCAAUACAUCUAUCUGGAUCAAGAUAGACCUCGAAUUCUCUACAAAAGCUAACUACUGCUAAAAAGAUACAACAUGUCGUCAUCAUUACCUCAUAAUUUCAGCCACUAGCUGUCCUUAGUGGUUUCUUCAGUAAGAAGAGUUAGUAGACGUGGCACUCACUAACUAACUAACUAAGUGAUCUUAAGAAACAAUGAUUAAAUCCUUGGGGAUAAAUGAUAAUCCUCUUUCCUACUUGUACGGAUGGACUUUAUCAUACUAAAUAAGCUUCUAACUAUUUCAAAAUUCUGACUUCCUUUGUCGUUUCGGUUUACUAUAGAUAUGGACACAUGGGAAUCUUAAUAAAGAUAAUCUAAAAUCCAAUUUCUAUCUUUAGGUAACAAAGAUAUAUUCUCGAUCCCUUGUCCGAUUAUUCUGAAUACUAAUUAAUGCACCAAUUACACUUGCAGCCUACCAUACCAAUAGUUUUAAGAGUAAUCUCAGCUAGCAUUAGAUAAGGUAUUGUUUAUGAACAACAUCACAAUAUUCCUUUUAAAUUCUCUUUUACAUUUCAGUCCAGUACUCUUAACCCUCUAUAUAUAGGAAAUGAUGGGAGUUCCUAUUUCCUCAAUGUAAGGUCUUCAUUUACCUAAAAACUUUUUUCUUUGCAUAACGCUCCCUUAAUUCUUCCUUUUCCUUUCUCAUAAUUAAACUAAUGGCCUUGGUUACCAACUUGGGUGCUAAAAAGCCAGUGGUGAUAUUCAGCAAAAGCUCUUGCAGCAUGUGCCAUUCCAUCAAGACUCUGAUAAGCAGUUAUGGGGUGAAUGCUACAGUAUACGAGAUAGAUGAACACCCAAAGGGGCAGCAAAUGGAGAGAGAGCUGAAGAUGUUGGAUAGUAGUAGGCCAAGUGUGCCAGCUGUGUUCAUAGGUCAUGAACUCGUUGGUGGCCCUGAUGAGAUAAUGAGCCUCCAACUCAAGGGCAAGCUGGUGGACUUGCUCAAAAAGGCAAAUGCCAUAUGGGUUUAAUUAACAUGAAAAAAGAAAUAGUCAAUGUUUUCCUUAUGUAACAUACCUAUGUAUUAUGGUUAUGGAAUAUGUAAGACCCUUACUAUAUAUAUAUAUAUNNNNNNNNNNNNNNNNNNNNNNNNNNNNNNNNNNNNAGGAAUAUUUAUUAUGGGGAACAAAAAGCUUCAGGAGUGGAUCAAUUUAACUUCUGUCUCCACUUGUUUGAUGCCAGGGAAAAGAUAUCAUCACUAGUAAACGAUCUAAACAUUAUUAUUAAUAUUUAUAAUGGGAAAGAAAAUAACUUCUCAACUAGGUAUAUUUUGAGGAUAUCCAGAAAACUUGUUUUCAGAGACUAACUAAGUGCGCAGAGAUAUCCAUGAUUGAGAAGCCAGAAACUUUUAUUAUUGCUUUUAUCAACAGUUUAUCCCGUUCUGAUGAGAAUAUCUUCUGCUACAUAAGAUAUGUGCCAAUCUUAACGCCAGUAACAUGAAAUAAAUUUAAAAAAUAAAAUAAAUCUGCAAAUCCUUCAUCAAUUGAGAUGCCUAACACUUUUAUCUCGUUCUAAUUUGAGUAGAAAAAUAUAUUAUUUCAAAGUUUUGAAUCUUCGUACAUAUUAAAGCACCAAAAACAUGCACACUACGAGGUCUUGUAUGCAUAACCUCAAAACAGUCAAUGUACUAUCACUUAUUUCAAAAACCUCUUAGUAAAAUCUUUCUUAAUGAUUUUUAUUAUCACGGUUUUCCACUUAGAUAAUAUAAUAGCCAUGGCUACAAGGUUAAGUGCUGAUGACAACCCAUUGGUAGUUUUUCAUUGAGACUCUUAUUUAUAGCUUUGGGAAAAAUCCAACAGAGUUUAUGAGCAUCCUAAUGGGCACAGCCUUGAUUUUAGGUAAAAGCUAGCACUGUUACACUUCACUAGUUUCUGUAAUUAGCCUUUUUGCAAACCUUUACAGUUUCCAUACUAUGUAAUGUCAAUCACGAUAAUGAAUCCUAUUUUACAAUAUUGGUAUUAAUCGAGUUAGCCAAUGAAUCUUUGUGACAUCGUAUCAACUAACUGCGAUAGACACCAAAUCUGACAUGCAUAAAAGGUUGGACAGAUGUCACCUCAGACAAAGGAUAAAUAAAGAAUAUAGAAUAUGAUCCUAAGUAACAAACUAAACACCACCACUUACACAAGAAUGCCCAUCUCACUACUAUGAGAAAGUAAAAAGUAAGUCACAGAAUAAUUACACAACUCGCCCUUGUAAUAGAGUAUAAGGUAUAGUUAGUAAAAUUUUAAUUUAAUUAACCUGGAACACAACACUAAAUUACAUUUGAGAAAAAAUAACAGGAUACAAAAUUGAGAGUUACCCUAUAUAUAUGUGGCAUUCAGAUUAAGGGUUUGCAGUUCAAAGAUCUUUCUUUUCAAUUCACCAAAACAGCAGAAAGAAUAAUGAAAUCGUUGUCAAGCACAUGAAUUCGUGAAGAAAUCCUGGAAUUACAAAAACAUACGAACAUCCCUAAUUCCCUAUUCCUAUGAACUUAUAGAAUUCCAAGAGUCGUCAUAAUGGAAACUAGUACAUUAGUGAAACCUAAUAAUAUCAUUCUUCGCUUCCCUUUGAUUAUGUUUAUGAAUAUACAAAUAUCCAAACCCUAACGAUACAAGUUUCAACAAAAUUAAUCCGAUUGGCAAAACUACAUUAAGCAUGAAACACGAACACACAGUGACCGAUAUACACAGACAUUGGAAUAAGAGGAUACCUAAAUUAAAUAAUCUGGAGAACGGAAGCGCCUAGUUACGACUGACAUAAUAAUUUUAGAACGAUGAAGCGAUUUGCAUUUGAGUCGUAUCAAAUGACUACUGUUCUUGACCUCUUGGUAGCAAUCACGUCCUUUCCGUUUCCGGCCAGACUACAUGCAAUGGUCCUAUCCAACUUUAAUAAGUCCGACCCGAACAGCCCUCGAUCUUCUAAAAAUCAAUACGGGUAAUAUCAAAAUAGUUUAGAGUAAAUUACACAAAUGGUACCUACGGUUUGGGGCAAUUUGCACGUUUGAUCCCUAACUUAUUUUUUUAACUCAAAAGAUCCUUAUUAUUUGAUUUUGUUACACGCUUGGUCCCUACAGUUUGUUUUUAUUACGUGUUUGUCCAUAUCUUACCUAAAAAUACUAUUAUUUAAAUAGAGAAAAUUGAUAAAGUAUGUAAGGUAAGGCGAGGGAUGGGGUUGUGGGUGUGUUUAUUUAAAUAAAUUAAAAAAUCAAAGACAAAAUAGUCUUUUUAGUUAAGAUAGGGACCAAGCGCGUAACAAAAACAAACAGUAGGGACCUUCCGAGUUAAAAAAAUAAGUUAGGGACCAAACGCGCAAAUUGCACUAAACCAUAGGGACCAUUCGUGUAAUUUACUCAAUAGUUUAGCUAAAAAGUUUGUCAUGUUUUGUCUCAAAGGGUUAAUGUCUAAACAAAAAUUGUCUAAGAGCAUUGUAACGUCCCAAAAUUCAAGAGUAAAAAUUUCUUUUAAAAUAAACAUUACUUAAAGCAAAAUCAUUGGUUCAAAACAUAAUCAGAGUAUUAGUUUCCAAAACACAUGUUCGUUAUCAGAGUAAAACAUUCCCAGGCUGUCUAAUCUAUGAUGUGUGCCAUGUGAUCACCCCGAGCUCUUCCCUUCGCUACCGGAAGCACCUGAAACCAAAACUGAAAACCGUAAGCACGAAGCUUAGUGAGUUCCCCACCCUACCACAUACCAAGCAUAAUCACAUACUGCACAUACUGGGCCACACCCGCUAUCCUGGGCCUCGCCCCUACCUCGGGCCUCACCUUUCCAAUUGUUGCACCCUAUAUAAGGUCCUUAAGUCCCUAGGGUUGGCCUUUUUUAUCAGCCUCCGUUGCCCUAAAACCCUAAAUCUCGACCCUUAGCCUCCAUUGUUGUGUCUUUGAGCUCUUAAGAAGAAUUUGGCGGUUAUUUUGCUCUUUUUUAAGGAAG
rnacentral:lncRNA from 1 species